rnacentral:rRNA from 1 species
UACGGAGGGUGCAAGCGUUGCUCGGAAUUACUGGGCGUAAAGCGCACGUAGGCGGCUUGGUAAGUCGGAUGUGAAAGCCCCGGGCUUAACCUGGGAACUGCAUUCGAAACUGCCUGGCUAGAGUAUGAUAGAGGGUAGUGGAAUUCCUGGUGUAGCGGUGAAGUGCGUAGAUAUCAGGAGGAACAUCAGUGGCGAAGGCGGCUACCUGGAUCAAUACUGACGCUGAGACGCGAAAGCGUGGGGAGCAAACAGG